rnacentral:rRNA from 1 species
ACAUGCAGUCGAGGGGCAGCAUGAACUUAGCUUGCUAAGUUUGAUGGCGACCGGCGCACGGGUGAGUAACACGUAUCCAACCUGCCGAUGACUCGGGGAUAGCCUUUCGAAAGAAAGAUUAAUACCCGAUGGCAUAGUUCUUCCGCAUGGUAGAACUAUUAAAGAAUUUCGGUCAUCGAUGGGGAUGCGUUCCAUUAGGUUGUUGGCGGGGUAACGGCCCACCAAGCCUUCGAUGGAUAGGGGUUCUGAGAGGAAGGUCCCCCACAUUGGAACUGAGACACGGUCCAAACUCCUACGGGAGGCAGCAGUGAGGAAUAUUGGUCAAUGGACGAGAGUCUGAACCAGCCAAGUAGCGUGAAGGAUGACUGCCCUAUGGGUUGUAAACUUCUUUUAUACGGGAAUAAAGUGAGGCACGUGUGCCUUUUUGUAUGUACCGUAUGAAUAAGGAUCGGCUAACUCCGUGCCAGCAGCCGCGGUAAUACGGAGGAUCCGAGCGUUAUCCGGAUUUAUUGGGCUUAAAGGGAGCGUAGGCGGACGCUUAAGUCAGUUGUGAAAGUUUGCGGCUCAACCGUAAAAUUGCAGUUGAUACUGGGUGUCUUGAGUACAGUAGAGGCAGGCGGAAUUCGUGGUGUAGCGGUGAAAUGCUUAGAUAUCACGAAGAACUCCGAUUGCGAAGGCAGCUUGCUGGACUGUAACUGACGCUGAUGCUCGAAAGUGUGGGUAUCGAACAGGAUUAGAUACCCUGGUAGUCCACACAGUAAACGAUGAAUACUCGCUGUUUGCGAUAUACAGUAAGCGGCCAAGCGAAAGCGUUAAGUAUUCCACCUGGGGAGUACGCCGGCAACGGUGAAACUCAAAGGAAUUGACGGGGGCCCGCACAAGCGGAGGAACAUGUGGUUUAAUUCGAUGAUACGCGAGGAACCUUACCCGG